GCCCAGUUAGUUUAAUUGGUUAGAACGCCACACCUAUUGCGUGGAAAUGCGGGUUCAAUUCCUGCACUGGGCU
rnacentral:tRNA from 1 species